GCUUUCCACAGCGCGGGGGAACGGGAGGCUGCAGGAUGGUCAAGCUGACGGCGGAGCUGAUCGAGCAGGCGGCGCAGUACACCAACGCGGUGCGCGACCGGGAGCUGGACCUCCGGGGGUGAUCUGGACCCUCUGGCAUCUCUCAAAUCGCUGACUUACCUAAGUAUCCUAAGAAAUCCGGUAACCAAUAAGAAGCAUUACAGAUUGUAUGUGAUUUAUAAAGUUCCGCAAGUCAGAGUACUGGAUUUCCAGAAAGUGAAACUAAAAGUAAGUAGUAAUCUGUUGCUUGUGAGCCAUUAUAGAGUUGUGUGUUUUUCUUUAUAUUUUUGUUACUGAUUAUUAAAAUUGUCUAAAUGAGUAAAUUUUACCAUUAGUUUGUAAUAAAAGUGGGAGGGAAAAUGUUACAUCACAUUUUUUUCUAAUAGCAGAGUUUAUGAUAGAACUUUUAAGUUGGAGCUCUCUUAUGUAAUGCUGGCUAUUCCGAAGUUCGCAAAGUGCUGAGGCCACGGUGAGCAGUCUUAACAGUGGAUUGUCUGCCUAGAUACGUUCCCAGCGGAGAACUUAA
rnacentral:lncRNA from 1 species